UCAUGCUUUAACCACAUCUGCUUCCAUGGUCUUCGGCUUAUGCCAGACUGAUCUUGCCCCUCCCCCACUCCCACCGCACUUGGCGGUGCAAGAACUCGGCAAAUACCUUCUCCCUAACGGCCAUUUCAGGCACUGCACCCAGCGCUCUUCCCAACAGUGAGUGAGUUCUUCCUGGCCCCACACUUGCCACCAGUCUAGACAGUGAUUUGAGAACGUGACUGGUUCGGGAAGAGGUGGCUGCGCCCUUUAUGUCAGAAGAGAACAGAGCAGCUGCAUUUUAUUCUGCAUCCGUGCACUUCCUUCCUAUCCCUUGUCAUCAUCCCUUCCGCUGCUAGCAGCCUGUGCCUCCCCUGUCAUCCCAUACCAGUGCUCGUAUGUUCAUAGGAACGCAGUCCAAACGGUUGGGAGUUCAAAUUUUCUCUGCAGCCACCAGAAGGCCAUCAAAAUCAGCUGACUCAAAGAUGUACGUUGGCCUAGUCUGGAAACCUCUUCCUGAGGAGAGCAAACACACAAGGCUGGAAUGAUUCAUGACGGUAACAUUUUUGUUGGAAAUGAAAAUAUAGAAUAUUUUCUUUGCUUUUUAAUGUUCCUUGUUUUUUUCCCCUUCGGUAAUUAUUUCCUAUUAAACUCGAGAACUCUGCAAUGAAAGUGAUCGCACACACACCCCCACACAUGCACACACACCCGUGCACACACAUGCACACACGCACAUACACACAUGCAUGCUUGCACAUGUAGUGGGUUUACUACCAAAGCAAGAGGAAGUCUGUCAGU
rnacentral:lncRNA from 1 species